GGUAAAUCGUGUAGCUUAACUAUACGAAUUCUGGGUAGACUGGUAAACUUGAGACCGGGCGAGGCUAGAGGUACUCCUGGGGUAGAGGUGAAAUUCUGUAAUCCUAGGGGGACCACCAGUGGCGAAGGCGUCUAGCUAGAACGGGUCUGACGGUGAGGGACGAAGCCCUGGGGCGCAAACGGGAUUAGAUACCCCGGUAGUCCAGGGUGUAAACGCUGCUUGCUUGAUGUUAGUUGGGCUUCGGGCCCAAUUAGUGUCGGAGAGAAGUUGUUAAGCAAGCUGCCUGGGAAGUACGGUCGCAAGACUGGAACUUAAAGGAAUUGGCGGGGGAGCACCGCAACGGGUGGAGCGUGCGGUUUAAUUGGAUUCAACGCCGGAAAGCUCACCGGGGGCGACGGUUAUAUGAAGGCCAGGCUGAUGACCUUGCCUGAUUUUCCGAGAGGUGGUGCAUGGCCGCCGUCAGUUCGUACCGUAAGGCGUUCUGUUAAGUCAGACAACGAACGAGACCCUCAUCUUUAAUUGCAACUAGUAAGUCCGCUUAUUAGGCACAUUAAAGAAACCGCUGGCGAUAAGUCAGAGGAAGG
rnacentral:rRNA from 1 species